CAGUAGCCACGGGAAUACGGAGGGUGCAAACGUUAAUCGGAAUUACUGGGCGUAAAGCGUGCGUAGGCGGUUCGUUAAGUCUGUUGUGAAAGCCCCGGGCUCAACCUGGGAAUGGCAAUGGAUACUGGCGAGCUAGAGUGUGUCAGAGGAUGGUGGAAUUCCCGGUGUAGCGGUGAAAUGCGUAGAUAUUGGGAAGAACACCGGUGGCGAAGGCGGCAACCUGGCUCAUUACUGACGCUGAGGCGCGAAAGCGUGGGGAGCAAACAGGAUUAGAUACCCCUGUAGUCCCUGUCUCUUAUAA
rnacentral:rRNA from 1 species